rnacentral:rRNA from 1 species
CACAGCCGCGGUAAUACGUAGGUGGCAAGCGUUGUCCGGAAUUAUUGGGCGUAAAGGGCUCGCAGGCGGUUUCUUAAGUCUGAUGUGAAAGCCCCCGGCUCAACCGGGGAGGGUCAUUGGAAACUGGGAAACUUGAGUGCAGAAGAGGAGAGUGGAAUUCCACGUGUAGCGGUGAAAUGCGUAGAGAUGUGGAGGAACACCAGUGGCGAAGGCGACUCUCUGGUCUGUAACUGACGCUGAGGAGCGAAAGCGUGGGGAGCGAACAGGAUUAGAUACCCCAGUAGUCCCUGUCUCUUAUACA